UACAGAGGUCUCAAGCGUUGUUCGGAUUCAUUGGGCGUAAAGGGUGCGUAGGCGGCGCGGUAAGUCGGGUGUGAAAUCUCGGAGCUUAACUCCGAAACUGCAUUCGAUACUGCCGUGCUUGAGGACUGGAGAGGAGACUGGAAUUUACGGUGUAGCGGUGAAAUGCGUAGAUAUCGAUAAGGAAGACCAGUGGCGAAGGCGGGUCUCUGGACAGUUCCUGACGCUGAGGCACGAAGGUCAGGGGAGCAAAACGGG
rnacentral:rRNA from 1 species